rnacentral:rRNA from 1 species
GACGAACGCUGGCGGCGUGCUUAACACAUGCAAGUCGAACGGAAAGGCCCUGCUUUUGUGGGGUGCUCGAGUGGCGAACGGGUGAGUAACACGUGAGUAACCUGCCCUUGACUUUGGGAUAACUUCAGGAAACUGGGGCUAAUACCGGAUAGGAGCUCCUGCUGCAUGGUGGGGGUUGGAACGUUUCGGCGGUUGGGGAUGGACUCGCGGCUUAUCAGCUUGUUGGUGGGGUAGUGGCUUACCAAGGCUUUGACGGGUAGCCGGCCUGAGAGGGUGACCGGCCACAUUGGGACUGAGAUACGGCCCAGACGCCUACGGGAGGCAGCAGUGGGGAAUAUUGCACAAUGGGCGGAAGCCUGAUGCAGCAACGCCGCGUGCGGGAUGACGGCCUUCGGGUUGUAAACCGCUUUCGCCUGUGACGAAGCGUGAGUGACGGUAAUGGGUAAAGAAGCACCGGCUAACUUCGUG